UUUUCUAUCCUUUUCAUUUUGAACCAUGGAUUCCAGUUGUGCUAAUUGCUGGUGCAUGUUUGAUUUUAUCUCAUUUCGUGAUUGCUUCGAAUCAAAGAAUGGGUAAUUGAAAUUUCAUCUGGUUUUGUGUUUGACUAAAUUUUUGUUGAAAUCCUUAACAUGAAAACUCCAUAAAAUUUUACUCGUCUUGUCGUAGUUGCCGAGAGUGAAUUUGAAUUUCGACUUCCGUAUUUAUAUUGAUCUUUUAGGUGACUUGGUGUUAAAUUUUGAUCACUUACAGUAUCGGUUAAUGCUUUGGUAUAAUAAAUCAUCUCAUUCUUUCCAUUUUACGUUUAUUCUUUGAAUGUCAUGAACAUGCAAGAAAUUUGUGUAAAAGCUUACAUUUUCGUUAUGUUUAUUCUUUUUGUACUGAACUACAUGACUCCAAGUUUUAUAAAUGAUUUAUGAAAAAUUUAAGAAAAUAAUUAUGCAGUUGUUAAGUUUGAUUUUCAAUUAAGUUUUGUAAACAAUCAUUAAACUAGCCUUUUUACUGUUUGCGAAAAUGACCCAAUGAACUUUGAUAUUCUAGACUCCACCGGUGGCUGAGAAUUUGAAACUCAUUUAUUGAAUAUGCUUCAUAUUCUCUUUUAGCCUCCUUCCCACCCAGCAACUUCAAGAUUUCAACCCAUUCAUUUGUCUUGUAUCACUAGAUUUAGCUUUCAACAUCCAUGUUGAUCAACUCAACUUAAAAGAAAUGUAUGACCUUAUAAAGUAGCACUAUUGGUUUACCGUUUGGUUCUUUCUGUUAUGCUCCUUACUUAAUUUUGAUUUCUUGCUUUAAGCCUUAAAUUAAAUUUUUGGUUAGUGAAAAUGUUUUGUAAUUAAAAAGUCACUUCCAGUCUUAGCCUUCUUCUUGUUACCCAUUUUGGACACUACUGGCACUAAAUCUUAUUUUUAUGAUUUUGUUAUAUUAGAAAUGAAGUGAACUUUAAUGGAUUGGCAUUUGGUUUUAAAUUUGCUGAUCAACAAGCUUUACUCUUGUACUGGAAUUUCUUUUUAAUUUACCAACUUGAGUAUUUUUCGCUUACCAUUUUACUGGUAACUCUCCCUCUCUCGGCAAUUAAGACUUGCUCUAAAACUUCACAGAUCUGUGUCUUAUUCCCAACCUAAAAUAUGUUGUUGUAUUUAUGAAGUCCUUUUACUCCUUGCAUUGAGAACUGUUAGGUAAUUUGGAUUACCAUCAUUUCUGCUAAUUUAUAUUCUUCUUAAUGUAUAUGAAUUUUAUCGUACUUUCUGGUAAGUGAUUUACACUCUCAUGUUGAGUUCUUUUGAUUCGGUAAGAACUUAUUUACUGAUUUCGUGAAUGCUUUAAAUGCUUGUAUUUAAGUAACUUUUUAGUUAUGGAUUUAUGAGGUUCUUCGGAAUGUGGUUUGUGACAUUUCAUUUGCGGCAAUUGGAUUUGGAAACUAGUGGACUCUCUACUUUAGGAACGUCGGGCCUAAGUGGCACCCCACCACCUCGGUGGCUACCCGGAAGAUCGUUGCGGCAAUGAUGGAUGGUAACCAGAACUACCCUGACGGUGGCACUGGCCAUGAGAAUAAGUUUGGAGCUAGCUUGAUGCGGUGAGCUGAAUAGGGCUUACGGCGAGGAGCUAUGGACACAAUGUGGUACAUAUUGUUGUCCUUGUAUACAUAUAUAUCAUGGGCUGAUUUGGGUAAUUUUCAUUUCAUGGUUUGCUACGUGUAUAUAGGCUAUGGUAUCCUUUUUGGAUGUAUAUGGGACAAUAUUCUUUUUCAGACGUUCUUAUACAUUAUAAUCCUUAAAAAUUCUACUGCUAAGUUAUGACUUCAUUUUCAUUUCUUCUUGGUUGUUUUUCUCGUUUUUGCUGUCUAUUUAAUGGGUGAAUCAUUGAAGUGUACUAAAUAACUCUCAUGUAACGAGAUGUCUUUAAUUAAAGUCUGCAGUAGUAGAAAUUGAUGUUAAAGUAA